rnacentral:rRNA from 1 species
AUUGAGCGCUGGCGGCAUGCUUUACACAUGCAAGUCGAACGGUAACAGGCCUUCGGGUGCUGACGAGUGGCGAACGGGCGAGUAAUGCAUCGGAACGUACCCAGAGGUGGGGGAUAACGCAGCGAAAGCUGUGCUAAUACCGCAUGUGAUCUGAGGAUGAAAGUGGGGGACCGAGCAGCAAUGUUUGGCCUCGCGCCUUUGGAGCGGCCGAUGUCGGAUUAGCUAGUUGGUGGGGUAAAGGCCUACCAAGGCGACGAUCCGUAGCUGGUCUGAGAGGACGACCGGCCACACUGGAACUGAGACACGGCCCAGACUCCUACGGGAGGCAGCAGUGGGGAAUUUUGGACAAUGGGCGCAAGCCUGAUCCAGCAAUGCCGCGUGCGGGAAGAAGGCCUUCGGGUUGUAAACCGCUUUUGGCAGGAACGAAACGGUGUCCGCUAAUACCGGGCGCUAAUGACGGUACCUGCAGAAUAAGCACCGGCUAACUACGUG